rnacentral:rRNA from 1 species
CCUACGGGUGGCAGCAGUGAGGAAUAUUGGUCAAUGGCCGGAAGGCUGAACCAGCCAUGCCGCGUGAAGGUCAGUGCCCUAUGGGCGUUAAACUUCUUUUGUGCGGGAGCAAUAAUGGUCACGUGUGGCCAGACGAGAGUACCGUACGAAUAAGCAUCGGCUAACUCCGUGCCAGCAGCCGCGGUAAUACGGGGGAUGCAAGCGUUAUCCGGAUUUAUUGGGUUUUAAGGGUGCGUAGGCUGUGAGGUAAGUCAGCGGUGAAAUGCCCCGGCUCAGCGGGGUGAAGUGCCAUUGAUACUGCUUUGCUGGAAUGCGAAUGCCGUGGGAGGAAUGUGUGGUGUAGCGGUGAAAUGCAUAGAUAUAACACAGAACACCGAUUGCGAAGGCAGCUCACGAAUCCGCGAUUGACGCUGAUGCACGAAAGCGUGGGUAUCAAACAGGAUUAGAUACCCUUGUAGUC